UGGGGAAUAUUGCACAAUGGGCGCAAGCCUGAUGCAGCCAUGCCGCGUGUAUGAAGAAGGCCUUCGGGUUGUAAUGUACUUUCAGCGGGGAGGAAGGGAGUAAAGUUAAUACCUUUGCUCAUUGACGUUACCCGCAGAAGAAGCACCGGCUAACUCCGUGCCAGCAGCCGCGGUAAUACGGAGGGUGCAAGCGUUAAUCGGAAUUACUGGGCGUAAAGCGCACGCAGGCGGUUUGUUAAGUCAGAUGUGAAAUCCCCGGGCUCAACCUGGGAACUGCAUCUGAUACUGGCAAGCUUGAGUCUCGUAGAGGGGGGUAGAAUUCCAGGUGUAGCGGUGAGAUGCGUAGAGAUCUGGAGGAAUACCGGUGGCGAAGGCGGCCCCCUGGACGAAGACUGACGCUCAGGUGCGAAAGCGUGGGGAGCAAACAGG
rnacentral:rRNA from 1 species